GUCGUAGAAUAUCUUUAUCAGCUUGAUUAUUUUUGAUGGUACUCCAUAUGCUCUUAGUAUGUCCCAGAUAUAUUCUCUUAUAACACUGUCAAAUGCUCUUUGGAAGUCAAUGAAGUUUAAUACUUUUUUGUUCUGCCACUCUAUGGAUUGCUCUAUGUUGUUUCGGAGGGUAAAUAGAUGGUACAUAUAUGUUAUUUCUAAAACCUGCCUGUUCUUUACUCAGCUUACUGUUAAUGGAAUCAGUUAUUCUAUUCUUGAUGACUCUAAGGAAUACUUUACUAGGGAUUGAAAGUAGUGAUAUUCCUCGCCAGUUGUUGCAAAGUUUCAGAUCUCCGUUCUUUUGCAGUUUUAUAAUAAUUCCUUUGUCCCAUUCAGUUGGUAUUUCUUCCUCUAUCCAUAUAUUGGUAAAUAGAUAAUGUAGUAUCUCGCUUGUUGACUGUAUGUCUGAUUUUAGUAAUUCUGCACUGAUGUUAUCUAUGCCUGGUGCUUUACCAUUUUUCAGUUGUCUUAUUGCCUUUUGGAUCUCAUCUUUGCAUACAGCUUCUGUGUAUAUUUCAAGUUCAUCUCCAAACGGUUGAAUGUCGGGUAUAUCAUUGUUUGCUUCAGCCCUAUUCAGGAUAGUUUUAAAGUGUUCUGCCCAACGAUCUAACUUUUCCUUGUCUGUAGUUAGUAGCUUCCCCUCUUUGGAUAGUACUGGUGCAUCAUUAUUCCUGGACUUUCCACCAGAGCUGCCUAGUGAUUUUGUAUACUACACUGAGCUCUCCACGCUUUGACGCUUCUUCAGCUUCAUUUUCAAGUUCUUCAACAUAGUUUCUCCUAUCAUUCUUUGCACCUUUUUUUAGCUUCUUUGUCUUUGUCUCUAUAGUUUGAUUUCAAUUUGGUUUUCAAUAUGUUAGAUUUAGAUGCAUUAAGUUUUAUUUUUAUGGCUUUCCUUUCCUUGAUGUUUUCCCCAUGUAUUGUCUGACAGCCACUGUUUUGUUUUUCUGUUCUUUAAACCCAAUACUUUCUCAGCUGUUUUAGUAUAAAUGUCCUUGAUGUUAUCCCAAAUUUCAGUUAUGUUUUCACCCAUGUUUUCAUUAUUGUCAUCAAUUUCACGGAGUACUUGGUAUCUGUUUUUUUUACUUCAGUAUUCAAUUUUUGUCUUAUUUUGUCGUCCUUCAGUCUCUGCAGAUCAAAAUUUUCCUGCUCAGUUCUUUUAUCUUCGAAGCUUUCUUGAGCUUCAAUUUAAUUUUGCCAAUAAUCAGGUAGUGGUCACUUCCACAGUCUAUCCCUCUUUUUACAGAUACAUCGUUCAGUGAAUGCCGCCAUCUGCCAUUUAUAAUUUGAUGGUCAAUUUGAUUUUUGUCUCUCCUGUUUGGCGAUGUCCAUGUAAGUUUAUGUAUCUCUUUGUGCUGGAACAUUGUACCACCAAUAACCAGAUCAUUUAGUCCGCAAAAUUCAAUCAGCAGGUUUCCGUUUUCAUUACAAGUUCCACAUCCGUUGUUACCCAUUAUUCUUUUCACUCCGAUGUUGUCAUAACCUACAUUUGCACUCAAGUCUCCAUUAACCAGUACAACAUCAUGGGCA
rnacentral:lncRNA from 1 species